rnacentral:rRNA from 1 species
UACGUAGGGCGCAAGCGUUGUCCGGAAUUAUUGGGCGUAAAGAGCUCGUAGGCGGUUUGUCGCGUCUGCUGUGAAAGCCCGGGGCUCAACCCCGGGUCUGCAGUGGGUACGGGCAGACUAGAGUGCAGUAGGGGAGACUGGAAUCUGCGUAGGCGGUGAAAUGG